rnacentral:pre_miRNA from 7 species
GCUUUUGGUUCCUUUGAAAGAUUCUCGAAUUCCCGGCCAACGCACCAAAUGAAAGACCCCCGAGGGGAGACCCUCUCUCAGACACUUAAGUCCCGGGACAGCCGCGUACCCAAGAAGACACUGAGACCA